UAAAUUUUAAAAUUAUAAUACUAAAAUAGUAAAUAAUUAUUUAUUAAAACUUAAAUAAUUUGGCGGUAUUUUAGUUUAUUUAGAGGAAUCUGUUUAAUAAUUGAUAUUCCACGAAUAAAUUUACUUAAUUUAUAAUUUUGUAUAUCGUUGUUAUAAAAAUAUUUUUUAAUAAAAUUAAUAUUU
rnacentral:rRNA from 1 species